rnacentral:rRNA from 1 species
GUCCCAGCCGCCGCGGUAAUACGGAGGGUCCGAGCGUUAAUCGGAAUUACUGGGCGUAAAGCGCGCGUAGGUGGUUCAGUCAGUCAGAUGUGAAAGCCCCGGGCUCAACCUGGGAACUGCACCUGAUACUGCUGAGCUAGAGUACGGUAGAGGGUAGUGGAAUUUCCGGUGUAGCGGUGAAAUGCGUAGAGAUCGGAAGGAACACCAGUGGCGAAGGCGACUACCUGGACCGAUACUGACACUGAGGUGCGAAAGCGUGGGUAGCAAACAGGAUUAGAUACCCUGGUAGUCCACGCCGUAAACGAUGUCAACUAGCCGUUGGGGGACUUGAUCCUUUAGUGGCGAAGCUAACGCGAUAAGUUGACCGCCUGGGGAGUACGGCCGCAAGGUUAAAACUCAAAUGAAUUGACGGGGGCCCGCACAAGCGGUGGAGCAUGUGGUUUAAUUCGAAGCAACGCGAAGAACCUUACCUACUCUUGACAUCCAGAGAACUUUCCAGAGAUGGAUUGGUGCCUUCGGGAACUCUGAGACAGGUGCUGCAUGGCUGUCGUCAGCUCGUGUUGUGAAAUGUUGGGUUAAGUCCCGUAACGAGCGCAACCCUUAUCCUUAUUUGCCAGCGAGUAAUGUCGGGAACUCUAAGGAGACUGCCGGUGACAAACCGGAGGAAGGUGGGGAUGACGUCAAGUCAUCAUGGCCCUUACGAGUAGGGCUACACACGUGCUACAAUGGCCGGUACAGAGGGCUGCAAACUCGCGAGAGUAAGCCAAUCUCACAAAACCGGUCGUAGUCCGGAUCGCAGUCUGCAACUCGACUGCGUGAAGUCGGAAUCGCUAGUAAUCGUGAAUCAGAAUGUCACGGUGAAUACGUUCCCGGGCCUUGUACACACCGCCCGUCACACCAUGGGAGUGGGUUGCACCUGAAGUAGCUAGUCUAACCUUCGGGAGGACGGUUACCACGGUGUGAUUCAUGACUGGGGUGAAGUCGUAACAAGGUAACC